AUGCCAAGGGAAACACACGCAAAGAACACUAGUGAACCAGUCUCCUCUUUGCUUCCUUUCUUUCCUCACUGCUGCACAGCUCCCUCAUGCCAGAACCUCGCUGCUGCCUCACAUGAGGGUUCAGAGCUGCUUCCAGGCCCUUCCAGGCAAAGUGCAGGUCCUCAGGUGUCUGAGGUUUUCUUAGCAUCUCACAAGAAAGUGUUUGCCACAUCUGGACUUCAUGGGAUUUCAACAGAGGAACCAGUUCCCGUAAACCAUGACAGCACUUCUGUGGCCUCUCCAGAGAGCAGCAGCAGCAAAUCUUCAGAGCAGCACACCCCAGUCAAUGACCCAUCAGCCACUCCAGGCACUUCAGCUCCCAGUGCUCCAGCUGGCUAUGCUGGUUAUGCACCAUGGACAGCCCCCAGGUGGCUCUGGUAUACUCCUGGGGAAGAGGAAUUGCCACCACUGGAUCUGGACCUGGUGCUUGAGACACUGGAGGAGAUGCUUUCGACUUCCCCGUCUGCAAGGUCUCCCUCUGCUCAGGACACUGUUGCCCCUGAGUGCUCAGGAGGGGAGCCUGUGAACAAGGCUGCAGCAGGGGGAGUUUUGCCUGGCACUGAAAACUGCAGGAACAGUUCCCAGGAACCCAAGGAGCUUGAUAUCCAUCUGAUCUACCUUGCUAGGAGGGCUGCCCUGCGUGCCAAAGAGAGACCGAGGGAGAGCCUGUGA
rnacentral:lncRNA from 1 species